GAAGACAGUCUUAAUCACUGAAGCUAGUCCAUUACGAGAAAGUUCAGUGCAACAAGCACACCGUUAAGUUUCUAUUUUGGCUGCGCUGUAUGCCUCUGUCAUGAAACAAAAGACAACUAGUCAAUUACCUUGUCGCCCAAGAUUAAUUUUUGCGUAACCUGCAAGUCUUAAAGGAGCACGCAUUCAAUUUGACUUACAGUUGUGUAUACUUUUCAGAACAGCACUACUCUGUAUAUAUUAUAUAUAUUUGUGUUGAGUGCAAGCACAAACGCAUAAGCACAAUCUAAGAUGGAUUCCAAGGCAGCAGCUAACAAUAAACUUCAUGCUGUUUGUAUUCCAGCUCCAGCUCAAAGCCAUAUAAAGGCAAUGCUUAAAUUUUCAAAGCUACUCCACCAUAGAGGUUUUCAUAUAACCUUUGUCAACACAGAGUUCAACCACAACCGCUUUCUUAAAUCUCUUGGACCCAAUUCCCUCGAUGGCUUGCCUGAUUUUCGAUUUGAAACCAUUCCAGACGGCCUUCCACCAGACUCCAACCAAGAUGCCACCCAAGACACCUCUUUAGCAUCCGAUGCCAUCAGCAAAAACCUUUUGCCUCCGUUUCGAGACCUCCUCAUAAAACUCAACGACGCGGCGAUUUCGAUCAAUAAUGUUAGUCCUCCAGUGACUUGCAUUUUCUCAGAUGGUUUCAUGCCAUUUACAAUCACAGCUGCUGACGAAAUUGGACUCCCUUUGGUACUCUUCUUUCCUAUUUCUGCAGGCAGCUUCAUGGGCUAUAAACAAUACCCUACUUUGGUGGAAAAGGGUAUUGCACCACUCAAAGAUGAGAGCUGUUUGACAAAUGGCUUCUUGGACAAGGUAAUAGAUUGGAUUCCAGGAAUGAAGGAUAUUCGUUUAAGGGAUCUACCGACAAAUUUUCGAACUACAAAUCCAAACGACAGCGUGUUCAACCUCAGUUUGGAAUCAGUGGAAAGAGUUGAUAAAGCUUCAGCAGUAGUUGUUCAUACUUUUGAAGCAUUGGAGCCAGAUGUUUGAAUGCUCUCUCCUCAAUGCUUCCACUUGUUUAUGCCAUUGGCCCUCUCCAGUUGCUUCUCAAUCACUUACCAAAAGAUCCCUUGAACGAUAUGGGAUAUAGCCUGUGGAGAGAAGAAACAGAGUGCCUUGAAUGGCUAAACUCAAAGCCACCAAAUUCAGUUGUUUAUGUGAAUUUUGGCAGCAUAGCAGUCAUGACACCAGAACAUCUUGUAGAGUUUGCAUGGGGACUUGCAAAUAGCAAGCUUCCAUUCUUUUGGGUAAUCAGGCCUGAUUUGGUUGUCGGUGAAUCGGCGAUUUUGUCACCUGAAUUUGUAGCUGAAACCAAGGAGAGGGGUUUGAUAGCAAGUUGGUGCCCACAAGAGCAAGUCCUUAGCCACCCUUCAGUUGGAGGCUUUUUAACACACAGCGGUUGGAAUUCGGUUAUUGAAAGUUUGUGUGCAGGAGUUCCUAUGCUUUGUUGGCCUUUCUUUGCUGACCAACAAACUAACACUUGGUGUGCUUGCAAUGAAUGGGAUAUUGGGAUGGAGAUUAGUAAUGAUGUCAAAAGAGUAGAAGUACAGGAGCUUGUUAGAGAGUUAAUGGAGGGAGAAAAGGGUAAGAAAAUGAAAAUUAAGGUCAUGCAGUGGAAGAAACUUGCAGAAGAAUCCACCAGUCCAAAUGGUUCCUCAUCCACAAACCUAGACAAUUUAGUCAAUAAUGUACUAUUAAGAAACUCUUUUUAGUAGAGUGAUAGCGCUAAUGAGUUAAAUAAUAACUUUUGUUGGUUGUCUACUUGUCUUAAUUACUAGAAAUAUGAACUUGCAUGCCUACUGUGUCAUAAAUUA